GGGCCCGCACAAGCGGCGGAGCAUGUGGAUUAAUUCGAUGCAACGCGAAGAACCUUACCUGGGUUUGACAUGCACAGGACGUGCCUAGAGAUAGGUAUUCCCUUGUGGCCUGUGUGCAGGUGGUGCAUGGCUGUCGUCAGCUCGUGUCGUGAGAUGUUGGGUUAAGUCCCGCAACGAGCGCAACCCUUGUCUCAUGUUGCCAGCGCGUGAUGGCGGGGACUCGUGAGAGACUGCCGGGGUCAACUCGGAGGAAGGUGGGGAUGACGUCAAGUCAUCAUGCCCCUUAUGUCCAGGGCUUCACACAUGCUACAAUGGCCGGUACAAAGGGCUGCGAUGCCGUGAGGUGGAGCGAAUCCUUUCAAAGCCGGUCUCAGUUCGGAUCGGGGUCUGCAACUCGACCCCGUGAAGUCGGAGUCGCUAGUAAUCGCAGAUCAGCAACGCUGCGGUGAAUACGUUCCCGGGCCUU
rnacentral:rRNA from 1 species